UUUGGAAAUGGACAAGGGAAAGGUUUAAGCGAGGUUUCAUCCUUCACUCUCUUCAUACUAUUCAGCUGUUGCUGCUAUCAAUGGCUUCCACAGCCUCCUCAUUCUCUCCAACCCCUCCUCAUGCUCAGGGCUGGAGAAGACCUCCCAAACUCCAUAACCACAAGUCCCUCAAAAACCUUCACUUUCUCUUCAGCUCAACCUCCAACUCCAACACCCUCUUCUUCAAGCCCUCACUCUCUUCCUCCACUCAUUUCCCUCUCAGCCUCAAACCCACUCCAGACCCAGUUCAGUUCCACCAGCUAAACGACUCCGUCCAAGACAAUCUCGUCGAAAACCUCGAGAAUUCCAUGAAAUUCCAGGUACCCAUCACCGAAUUUCACCUAGUUAAGUCUCCAGAGUCGUCCCCAAGAAUCUUCAUCCAAGACCCACCAUGGAUUGCGUCCCUCUUUCUGAAGGGUAUGUUCAAGAAAGCCAAUAAAGAACUGAAAUUGGAGUCGAAGGAAAUCGAUAGGAGGAAGUACAAUCUGCUGAGGAGGAGGCAGAUUAAGGCGGAGACUGAGGCGUGGGAGAAGAUGGUGGAUGAGUAUAAGGACUUGGAGAGAGUAAUGCGUGAGAAGAAGCUGGCUCCGAGCUUGCCUUAUGUAAAGGCCUUGUUUUUGGGGUGGUUUGAGCCACUGAGGGAGGCCAUUGCUAAGGAGCAGAAGGCACAGCAAACCAAGAAGCACAAGGCAGCGUUUGCGCCGCACAUUGAUUUGUUGCCCGCGGAUAAGAUGGCACUGAUUGUAAUGCAUAAGCUGAUGGGGUUGGUGAUGAUGGGGAAUCAAGAUGGGUGUGUUCAGGUGGUUCAGGCUGCCGUGCACAUUGGUAUGGCCAUAGAGCAGGAGGUUCGGAUUCACAGUUUCUUGGAGAAGACUAAAAGUCUCCAGAGAAAGAAGAGUGCGGCUGCGGAUGAAGAUGGUCUGAGCAAGGAGAAGGAGAUACUGAGGAAACGUGUUAAUGGUUUGAUUAGAAGGAAAAGACUGGUUGAGGUGCAAAAGCUACUGAAAAAAGAAGAUAUGAAGCCCUGGGGUCGGGAUACACAGGCUAAGCUGGGAAGUCGGCUGAUAGAACUAUUAACAGAAACAGCUCAUGUACAACCUCCACUUGACCAAUUGGCAGAUGGUCCACCUGAUGUUAGACCUGCAUUUAGGCACAGACUAAAGGCUGCGGCAAAAAGUCCAGGGCAGAAACUUGUGAAGAACUAUGGAGUUAUUGAAUGUGAUCCCCUAGUUCUUACCGGACUUGAUAAAACUGCUAAACAUAUGUUGAUUCCUUAUGUGCCAAUGUUGGUGCCUCCCAAAAGAUGGAAAGGGUAUGACAAGGGUGGACACUUGUUCCUACCUUCUUAUGUCAUGCGUACCCAUGGAUCUAGGAAGCAGGUAGAUACAAUGAGAAAUAUUCCUGGAAGACAGAUGCAGAAAGUAUUUGAGGCCCUCGAUAUGCUUGGAAGCACCAAAUGGCGGAUUAAUAAAAAGGUUCUUAACGUGGUGGAGAGCAUCUGGGCUAGAGGUGGCAACAUUGCAGGCCUGGUUGAUCGUGAAGAUGUUCCUGUACCAGAGAAACCACCAUCUGAGGAUUUAACAGAAAUUCAGGAAUGGAGAUGGAGUGCAAGAAAAGCAAAGAAGCUUAACCAAGAGAGGCAUUCUCAACGAUGUGAUACUGAACUUAAGCUCUCUGUUGCGCGCAGAAUGAAAGACGAGGAAGGCUUUUAUUAUCCCCACAAUCUUGAUUUCCGAGGCCGAGCAUACCCAAUGCAUCCCCAUUUGAAUCAUUUGAGUUCUGAUCUAUGUCGAGGAGUCCUUGAAUUUGCUGAAGGGCGGCCAUUGGGGAAGUCCGGAUUGCGAUGGCUGAAGAUUCAUUUAGCAAACUUGUAUUCAGGUGGUGUUGAAAAGCUUUCAUACGAUGGGCGUAUAGCAUUCGUGGAUAACCACAUUGAUGAUAUAUUUGAUUCAGCAACAAACCCUGUUAAUGGAAAUCAUUGGUGGUUAACUGCUGAAGAUCCUUUACAGUGCCUAGCUGCUUGUAUCAAUCUAUCAGAAGCCUUAAAUAGCCCAUCACCACAUACUGUCAUUUCUCAUUUACCCAUCCAUCAGGAUGGUUCAUGCAAUGGCUUACAGCACUAUGCAGCCUUGGGGAGAGAUACUUUGGAAGCAGCUGCAGUCAACUUAGUUGCUGGAGAGAAACCUGCUGAUGUGUAUUCAGAAAUAGCUGUGAGGGUACAUGACAUUAUGAAGAGAGACAGCAAUAAGGACCCAACUACCAGCCCAAAUGCUUUAUUGGCUAGAGUCUUAGUUGAUCAGAUUGAUCGGAAAUUGGUGAAACAGACUGUGAUGACUUCAGUAUAUGGUGUUACUUACGUUGGGGCGCGUGAACAGAUAAAAAGAAGAUUAGAAGAGAAGGGUCUUAUAACUGAUGAUAGACUGUUGUUCACCGCAGCUUGUUAUGCUGCUAAAGUGACACUGGCUGCCCUUGGAGAGAUUUUCCAAGCUGCACGUGGCAUAAUGAGCUGGCUUGGUGAUUGUGCCAAGGUAAUUGCUUCAGAAAAUCAGCCUGUUCGUUGGACGACUCCUCUAGGUCUUCCUGUUGUGCAACCAUACUGUAAAAGUGAACGACAUCUUAUAAGAACAUCCCUUCAGGUUCUGGCCUUGCAGCGGGAGAGUAACUUGGUAGAUGUAAGGAAACAGAGAACGGCAUUUCCUCCAAAUUUUGUACACUCACUUGACGGUUCACACAUGAUGAUGACAGCUCUUGCCUGCAGGGAUGCCAGCAUACGCUUUGCAGAUGUUAAAACAUGUGUGCAGGGGUGCAUGACUCCUUCUGGACUCAUGCAUGUGACGUGGAUCAAAUGAACCAGAUACUUCGGGAAAACUUUGUGGAGCUCUAUAGCAAGCCGAUACUUGAGAAUUUGCUUAAAAGCUUUCAAGCAGCGUAUCCAGAAUUGACGUUUCCUCCCCUCCCAGAAAGAGGUGACUUUGACUUGCAAGAGGUUCUAAAAUCUCCAUACUUUUUCAAUUGAAUCUUCACAUAAGCAGCGAUAAUAACCAGCAUGGGGAUAGCAGUCUCACUUAUACCAUAUAUGUCACCACCAAAUGACCCAGAAGCUUUAUCAAGAGUUCAUCAAGAUAUGGACACAAGUUGAAAUGGGUCACAGAAGGUUGCUUCUGAGAGAGCUGAUAGGGAAAUGUUUGAUUUCCAAUGCUCUGCAGCAAGUCUGUGAUUGUGAUCAUCUUCACAGGUUCCACAUUUUAGAGGUGAACGAUGUACAGUAAAGGAGACUCUUCUUCUGAAGUUCACGGUUCAAGAUCUAUCUUAAGUGGGAAAUGUUUUUGGAGGCUAGAGAUAUACCAGCUGGGAAGUGUGUCCUGGCCAUAGGAGCUAAUUUAGCAAGGUUCAUCCGAGUGGUGCGAAAUUCUUGUAUCGGAAUAGAAAGGGUAGAAGGGGAUCGGAGCAUGUUAUAUGGCAUACCUGUAGAAUUGUGAAUGGAAAAUUCUUGCAAAUUUUUGCGCAAGAAGUGUAAAGAAAUGAAGGAAUUGUAUUGAUGGUUCUGUACAAAUGUAAACUUUUCAACUUGAAAACAAGAUCCUAAAUGAAGUGCGCUCCUGUGUUGGGAGUUCAGACA